UACGUAGGGUGCAAGCGUUAAUCGGAAUUACUGGGCGUAAAGCGUGCGCAGGCGGUUAUGUAAGACAUAUGUGAAAUCCCCGGGCUCAACCUGGGAACUGCAUUUGUGACUGCAUAGCUAGAGUACGGUAGAGGGGGAUGGAAUUCCGCGUGUAGCAGUGAAAUGCGUAGAUAUGCGGAGGAACACCGAUGGCGAAGGCAAUCCCCUGGACCUGUACUGACGCUCAUGCACGAAAGCGUGGGGAGCAAACAGG
rnacentral:rRNA from 1 species